CAGUAGCCGCGGGAAUACGGAGGGUGCAAGCGUUAAUCGGAAUUACUGGGCGUAAAGCGCACGCAGGCGGUUUGUUAAGUCAGAUGUGAAAUCCCCGGGCUCAACCUGGGAACUGCAUUUGAAACUGUCAGGCUGGAGUCUUGUAGAGGGGGGUGGAAUUCCAGGUGUAGCGGUGAAAUGCGUAGAGAUCUGGAGGAAUACCGGUGGCGAAGGCGGCCCCCUGGACAAAGACUGACGCUCAGGUGCGAAAGCGUGGGGAGCAAACAGGAUUAGAUACCCCUGUAGUCCCUGUCUCUUAUAC
rnacentral:rRNA from 1 species